rnacentral:rRNA from 1 species
UACGGAGGGAGCUAGCGUUGUUCGGAAUUACUGGGCGUAAAGCGCGCGUAGGCGGCUUUGUAAGUUAGAGGUGAAAGCCCGGAGCUCAACUCCGGAACUGCCUUUAAAACUGCAUCGCUUGAAUCCAGGAGAGGUGAGUGGAAUUCCGAGUGUAGAGGCGAAAUUCGUAGAUAUUCGGAAGAACACCAGUGGCGAAGGCGGCUCACUGGACUGGUAUUGACGCUGAGGUGCGAAAGCGUGGGGAGCAAACAGG